CAAGUCGAGCGAGGAGGCCCGCAAGGGUCAUUCGAGCGGCGAACGGGUGAGUAACGCGUGGAUAACCUGCCCAGAGGUGGGGGAUAACCCGGGGAAACUCGGGCUAAUACCGCAUAUGACCGUGAGGUCAAAGGGGGCUCGCAAGGGCUCUCGCCAUUGGAGGGGUCCGCGUCCGAUUAGCUAGUUGGUAGGGUAAUGGCCUACCAAGGCGACGAUCGGUAGCCGGCCUGAGAGGGUGAUCGGCCACACUGGAACUGAGACACGGUCCAGACUCCUACGGGAGGCAGCAGUGGGGAAUUUUGCGCAAUGGGCUAACGCCUGACGCAGCAACGCCGCGUGGAGGAUGAAGGUCUUUGGAUUGUAAACUCCUGUCAGCAGGGAAAAAGCGAAUCGGCCUAACACGCCGGUGAGUUGAUUGUACCUGCAGAGGAAGCCCCGGCUAACUCUGUGCCAGCAGCCGCGGUAAUACAGAGGGGGCAAGCGUUAUUCGGAAUUAUUGGGCGUAAAGGGCGCGUAGGCGGCUUGGCAAGUGGAUGGUGAAAUCCCUCGGCUUAACCGAGGAACUGCCGUCCAAACUGCUUUGCUUGAGGCCGGGAGAGGCGAGUGGAAUUCCCAGUGUAGCGGUGAAAUGCGUAGAUAUUGGGAGGAACACCAGUGGCGAAGGCGGCUCGCUGGACCGGUUCUGACGCUGAUGCGCGAAAGCGUGGGGAGCAAACGGGAUUAGAUACCCCGGUAGUCCACGCUGUAAACGAUGAGUGCUUGGUGUAGCGGGUAUCGACCCCUGCUGUGCCGAAAGUCAACACAUUAAGCACUCCGCCUGGGGAGUAC
rnacentral:rRNA from 1 species